CGGGACGGGUGAGUAACGCGUGGGUAACCUGCCUCAUACAGGGGGAUAACAGUUAGAAAUGGCUGCUAAUACCGCAUAAGCGCACAGGACCGCAUGGUCUGGUGUGAAAAACUCCGGUGGUAUGAGAUGGACCCGCGUCUGAUUAGCUAGUUGGAGGGGUAACGGCCCACCAAGGCGACGAUCAGUAGCCGGCCUGAGAGGGUGAACGGCCACAUUGGGACUGAGACACGGCCCAG
rnacentral:rRNA from 1 species